UGCCAGCCGCCGCGGUAAUACGAAGGUGGCGAGCGUUGUUCGGAUUUACUGGGCGUAAAGAGCACGUAGGCGGUUGGGUAAGCCUCUUGAGAAAGCUUCCGGCUUAACCGGGAAAGGUCGAGGGGAACUACUCAGCUAGAGGACGGGAGAGGAGCGCGGAAUUCCCGGUGUAGCGGUGAAAUGCGUAGAUAUCUGGAGGAACAUCAGUGGCGAAGGCGGCUCCCUGGCCAAAGACUGACGCUCAUGUGCGAAAGUGUGGGUAGCGAACAGGAUUAGAUA
rnacentral:rRNA from 1 species